GAUGAACGCUGGCGGCGUGCUUAAUACAUGCAAGUCGAGCGAAGCGCUUUAACGGAAUUCUUCGGAAGGAAGAUAAAGUGACUGAGCGGCGGACGGGUGAGUAACGCGUGGGUAACCUGCCUCAUACAGGGGGAUAACAGUUAGAAAUGGCUGCUAAUACCGCAUAAGCGCACAGGACCGCAUGGUCUGGUGUGAAAAACUCCGGUGGUAUGGGAUGGACCCGCGUUGGAUUAGGUAGUUGGUGGGGUAACGGCCUACCAAGCCGACGAUCCAUAGCCGGCCUGAGAGGGUGGACGGCCACAUUGGGACUGAGACACGGCCCAGACUCCUACGGGAGGCAGCAGUAGGGAAUAUUGCACAAUGGGGGAAACCCUGAUGCAGCGACGCCGCGUGAAGGAAGAAGUAUCUCGGUAUGUAAACUUCUAUCAGCAG
rnacentral:rRNA from 1 species